rnacentral:rRNA from 1 species
GNNAGGGCGAGCCUGAGGAGCACGCCGCGUGAGUGAAGAAGGAUUUCGGUUCGUAAAACUCUNCNUNUAAGGGAAGAACAAGUACAGUUAGUAACUGGCUGUACCUUGACGGUACCUUAUUAGAAAGCCACGGCUAACUACGUGCCAGCAGCCGCGGUAAUACGUAGGUGGCAAGCGUUGUCCGGAAUUAUUGGGCGUAAAGCGCGCGCAGGUGGUUUCUUAAGUCUGAUGUGAAAGCCCACGGCUCAACCGUGGAGGGUCAUUGGAAACUGGGAGACUUGAGUGCAGAANAGGAUAGUGGANUUCCAAGUGUANCGGUGAAAUGCGUAUAGAUUUGGAGGAANACCNCUGNNNAACNCGACUAUCUGNUCUGUAANUGACNCUGAGGCNCNAAA